AUCAGAAGGUUGCGUGUUCGA
rnacentral:siRNA from 1 species